GAAGGAAGAUCUGCCUGCCUCUGUGGUAGAUGGGGGAGGGAGUGGGCAGGUCUUGUCUCUUAAAGAGACAGGACAGACCAUUACAGUCCCCAUAGGCUCAGACAUUUGCUUAGUCACUAGGGAGUGAAACUAUUUGUCUUAAUUAGGGUUUCUAUAGAUGUGAAGAAGCACCAUGACCACGGCAACUCUUCUAAAGGAAAACAUUUAAUUGGGGCUUAGUGAUUAUCACUGUGGUGAGACGUGGCAGUGUGCAGACAGACAUAGUGCAGGAGAAGGAGCUGAGUCUAGACUAAAACAAGAGUCCAGCUGGUUAAUAGGCAGACCACCGUGUACUAACCAUGCUGCCCGUCUGAGUGACUGGCCCUUACCAUCCAAGCCUGUAGGAGGACUCUGUCUCAACAAAACUGCUGAUGGGUGCAGUUCUUAGAGCAGAUCCCCCUCAUUUAGAGACAGACGACUGUAAUUAUUCCAGCAGCUGACCACAUCUGGUAAUCCACAGAGACUCUGGCCUCGAGUGCCGUGAUGUAAGCAUCAGAGCGCCUUGCAGUGAUGACACUGGGCAGGGAUGCUGAGUGUAGGGGUCAAUGGUAGCUUUCUCCUCAAUAACCCAAGACUUGAUUUGCAGUUGCCAGACUGAGGUGAAGCAUCAGUGUGCGUUCCUGGAGUCUUGGGUACCCUGAGGAGGAAGGAUAUUGAAUACGAGGGAAAGACAGGGCUUUCGAUGAGGCUCUACUACAGCAGCUGCCUGGGAGGACCUCGUCCUGUCUCUCACAGCUCCUAUUUGUCUUCUACCACCCAAACUUCCUGACUUCCUUAAGAAUUUUUGGUCUUUGUUGCUUCAACAUUUUUAUUGUUGUUGUUGUUGUUGUUUUUGAGACAGGUUCUCACCCUGUAGCUCAGACUGGCCUAGAACGCAUUAUAUAGCCUAUUCUGGCUUCCAACUUUGGAUAAUCCUCUUGCUUCAGGCUCUCCAGUUCUUGGAAUUACGGGAGUGAGUCACCACACAGCGCUCCCUUCAGAAAAUAUUUAAGUCUGGCAGUACCCAGCUAAACUAAACAGUUUGAAAGUUAAUUCUAUUGGGUCUGACUUCAGGGAGUUUACAGGCUACCUAAGGAGGUGGGGUGCAGAGGAGGAAGAAUCCAAAUAUGUUUGGGGAUAAGGUUUAUGGAGCGUGAUGAGAGAUCGCUUUCUGGAGGCAAACUCUGUAGGCAGCCUGUCUUUCUGACUGAAACAGGUUUUGCCCGAGUCCACACAUGUGGUGGGGAACAGACCACCAGGCACUACCCGUGGGGGUGUGAGCAGCAAGACUUUGUUAGGAAACCCCUGUCCUAUCUGCUCCAGAGAAGCAUGAGACAGAAGACGAAGGGAGUGAGGCUCAAGACCAGAGCGGGGAGGUGCAGGCACAUGCGUAGAAAGGCGGGCAUGUUAAACAGCACCUCUGCAGACAGUGCUUCACUGAGCAGAGGAGCUGGAGACCAGCUAGAAGGCCUGGGACGGUCCGAAGAGGGCUGAUGGGGUGGGACAGGCUCAGAGAAAAACAGGAAGCAGUGUGACAGCGCUGGGGAAUGCGGGAGUGGCUGGGAGCCACUAUCAUUACCUCUGAGGUGUAUAAUCAUGGACACUGCCUAGCUGGGGGCGGGGGUCUGAGCGUUGUCCAGCCUGGCUGCUUCUGACCCUGCCCUAGACACAAUUGAAGACAAAGGACUCACAGUGAGAAUUCGUAUCAACUAGCUUGCAUUUGUUGCUCAGAGUGACUUUGGGAAGGUUCCCCUGCCUCUCCUUGCCUCUAUUUUUUUCCUUUUCUUUUCUUUUCUUUUCUUUUCAUUUUUUUUAACAGUAGCAUUGAUUUCCUUGAAUGCCAUCGAUAUUCAAGAUUGAAUUUCCCUUAAAACAAUUAGAUCUCAGCCUUCCUAGUGCUGCGACCCUUUAAUACAGUUCCUCAUGUGUGAUGACUCCCCCAACUAUAAAAUUAUUUUCAUUGCUACUUCAUAACUGUAAUUUUGAUAGUUAUAAUGUAAAUAUCUACUAUGCAGGAUAUCUGACCUAUGAUCCCUGAGAAAGGGUCAUUCGAACCCCCAAAGGGGUUGCGACCCACAUGUUGAGAACCACCGAGGGCUCCUGGUUUUGAUACUCUCCAGUACUUACGAAUUUUGUAUUUAUCUUUAUCCUCCUUCAGUAGUAGUUGUCAGGGGCAGAAGCGCAUCGUGGGCAAGAUCCUUCUGAAUCUCCAUCUUUAAGAGAUCUUACCCCCGCAACGGUAGCGAAUACUUCACCCGAUUGCCUUAACAUGUAAUUUCUGGAGGUGAUUCACAGCAGGUGGGGGACAAGAACUGGAAGUUCAGACGCUGGGCAGAGGCUGCUAUGGUUUGCACGUUUGCGGCUCCUCUUAAAAUCAUGAUUUGGAACAUAGCUGCCAAAGUAACAGCAUUCACGGUGCGUGGUGAAGAGUUGGAUACCCUUAAUUAAGACUUGAGCGGUUCUUCCUUCCACACUUCCACUCGGUCUGGAUGGCCACAGUGUUCAUCUUCUUUAGAGGGUGCCAUUCAUGACUCCAUCCUGACAACAAACUGGGUCCUCACCAGCCAUCUAAAACCUGUGCCCUGACCCUGAACUUGGCAGCAUCCAGAGCUGUGAGAAACAAACAUUUCCAUCAUCAUGUCAUUUUAUCUGUAUAGGUCUUUUCUCUGCAUGUAUGUACUUGUAUCACACGGAUGCACUGCCUACAUAAGCCACAAGAGGGUAUGGGAUCCCCUGGAGCUGUAGUUACAGAUGGCUGUAAGUUGUCCCAGGACUCAAAUCCUAGUCCUCUGGAAGAGCAGCCAGUGCUCUUCAUUGCUGAGCUCAGAGAAAUAAACGUUGUUUUCCUUGUAAAUUACUUAGUGUGAGCCAUUUUGUUAUAGCAGCACAACUAGCCUAGAGUCCACCAGGAAAGAUUCUAAGGACACACUCUGCCUGGCACACCCUGCCCUUGGUGUACCUCACAUCUUCUUCACUCCACAAACUGCCAUCCUUGUGCUGGCAUUAAGUAUUAUCUGUGAAAUGUAGUCAUCAUUGAACAGCAAACACCAAAGAUUAUUUUUUUCUAAACUAAUCAUGGAUGAUCUCUGGUCAAAUAAGGUUGCUGAAACUUUAUUUUACAAUUUACAAAUGCCCAAAUCUCUGGAUUUUUGUCCUUUGACAUUCAUUUAGUACUUCCAAGUUUAAGCAAGUGAUAAUGGCUCUGUGGACCUGGUAAUUGCUUCUUUCUGAUACUCUGCCAGGAGUUAAUUUACAUAUGUAAUUAUUAAAUCCAUUUUAAGGGGGCUUUGGUGUAAUGUAAGCUAACUUGUCUUCAAUAUUGCUAGCAUUCAGAAAUAAAUUCAGAAGGGACCCUACUUGUUUUGUAAAUUGCUCAGUGUGUCAGACAUGUUCAGUAAUCUAACCCUAAGAAGAAGAGGUUCCCGUGCCCACUCCACCUCUCCCCUGGCAAAUGUCUGAAGUGUGGCGGUGACAUUUCUAAUUUCUUUUUGAAGGUAGACUUUGGGGAAUAGUUUUUGAAAACUAGUCUUUGUGAAACAGAUGAUGGCUCCGUCAGAAACUGUGCUCUACUUUAAAAGCCUGUGGAGCAUGCGUAAAGUGUCGAUGUCAGCUGCUGGGGACAAAUUAUAUUCAGUGGAAGUUUGAGAAAAGCCACAAGGUGCAUACGAUGGAUAUAGUCACUGUGAUUACUCUCCUUAGGAGCUAGAAAAUAACCACUUAGGGAGGCUAUGACUGAGAGUAAUUGCUGUCUGAUGAAGAAAAACUGGGGGAAAAUAAUUAUAAGAGUGAAGAAGAUAUUUCCGAACCAUCUGUCAUUUAAAAAUAAGAAACAAAAAAGGGAAACAUAGUAUUCUUUUUUCAGAAAGCCCUGGAAGCCGACACAAAAGGUAACGUUCUGGUGGUGUGCACAGAAUAAGGAGGCUGAUGCAGGUACGUGAUAGCGUUUACAGGACAUCUGAGACCGUGGUGUGAUGAUACCCACACUUGAGGUGGGCAUUGCUGUUUCUCAGUUGCCUUUAUUUGGCAUUUCUACAUAGCCAAAGGGAAAGAACACAUCCAGAUGAAAUGUCAGUAAUUGGAAGCAGGAGACACCAACAGAAAGAUACGUCCUCCUAUCAGAGUAAAGGUACACAAAAGGUGGCACUAAGGGAAGUCAGUCUUUAUCACCUGCCAUUUCCUACUGUGUUUAAUGCGCGUCAUCUUGGUGAGGUAGUGAAGGACCAGGCUUCACUCAGAUAAUAUCUGAUUGGCAGUCUCUUCUUUGGGGGCAGGCAGGUGGAAGUCGAUGGGUAACGACUUCUGAGUUAUCCAGGUUUGCCUUACGGAAGAUUACAUAUGGAGGGAAGGAACAGGAGAACUGUCCAGUGUCCUUCAACCAUAGAGUCAGUACCAGAUAAUAAGAGAGGGCUGAGGAGCUGAAAGCAAUCCCUGCCUCUGGGUUUCUAGCACUCCAUUAAUGUUCCUGGUAGCAGUUUCCCUUCCUCUCUGACCUGAGCACUGGGGGCGGGGCGGCUCUGUGAGACUCCUCUUUGAUCCAGCCACUGACCCUAGCCUUGGCCUGCCACAGGAACUACUGCUUUUGGGAAUCAAAGGAGAGGCCUGGAGAAUACAUAUUCUGUGCGAAGGGUUUGCAUAUGGCUCCUGACAUAAGACAGAAACUCUGAAUUUUUCUUUUAACAACAUGCUUGGACUUAGAGAAGGACAAUCAUUAUCCAACUUCAGAGUCAGCUUUGAUUUUUAAUUAUAGAAAAUUAUGGAAACUCGAGAAAGGGAAAUUCUAAUGUGGAGAAUUGGAAGUGAAAGCAUCCUGUAUGAUCUUCCUUGAAGAUGUCCAUGGGAGUUUUAACAGUUGAACAAAAUCAAAGUAUGAAAAUAAAAAUAUUUUACAAGGUUCACAGUUCGUAGCUGUUGCCAGGGAGGAAGCAAGCAAAGCUGGGAACAAGCUGGUUUGCUGCUCAUUCUACAGAGAAUGAGAAUAUGUCUCAUAUUUGUCCUUAUAAUCUCCUGAAAUACACGGAAUUCCUGUAAGGUCUUGUGGCACUUCAGCACAGAGAAGGACAAUGUCGCAUUUGAAAACCACUCUUUGUUCAUUUCCUGUGCAACGAGCCUGAAUGGAAAUGGGAGGAAAGGCUUUGUAUUUAAGUUCCUUCCUGAUUUUCCCCAAAGGAACAGGGAUAGUUAGGUUUUUCUCCUCCAUGAGUAGACACAAGCAGAAAGCCAUAUCUACACUGAGAUGCAGGACCCACUCACACCAGAAGCACUGUGAACUACAAGCACAUAAGGGUUUUCUAUUGUGGUAGGGAAAAGUUUGUCAUCACAAAAGCUCCUUUUAAAGUUAUCUAAACCCCGAGAAAGUUAGCUUGGGGCCUUUGCGAGCAACUUGAAAAUACAAUUUUCUUUUUAAUUUUUAAUCUUAGGCUUAAAUUUUCUUGGUGUGAGUCCCAAUCUAUCACCAGCAGUGAGUCAGAAAGGGAUGCUUGAAAUAGUUCUUGUGACAUUAUCUCUGCCCAUGCCGUGUUGCCCAAGGAUGGCCAAACCUAUUUCUCAUGCAUCUAAUUAUUUCACCAAACCAGACAAGUAUUCCUAUAUUAAAAUAGUUUAUCAGAUUACAUAAAGAAGCUUAAAUAUAUCUGUCAAAAAUGUGAGCCAACAGGCAUCAUUUUAUAACAUCUACUAAUGUAAACUUCAGAUCUAUGAUAAAAAUUAUAAGGUCCAAUGUGACCCAGCAGUUUUCCAAGCCUUUUCCCUGACCAGGAAGAUCUACUCAAUGACUACUAAUCACUAGUAAGAGAAGUGUUGUAGUAAUGAUGCCUUUAAAAAAUAGUAACACAAAAGUAAAAUCAUUUACAGAAUAUGGCCAGGGACAGGUCAUAUAUUAUGAGAGUCAAAAAACCGUCUGUUUGGGGGGACAUGUUUAUCAUUAAGUAGACUGACUUGUACAUUAAACAGCAGUGUCCACCUUAUGGUGUAGGAUGCAGUAACAGAAGCUUUGUGUCUGAUGCCCCUUCCUAAAACCCUAAAAAGUAAAUAAAAAAAGACUGUCUACUAAGCAAUAUUUUAACUAAAGAAGGCCACAGCUUUUAAGAAAUGUUGCAAUGAAGUCCAGUAAGAAGGUUUGAAGUCUCUUCUCCAGUCUGCCCCACCUUCUUCAGGCCUAAGGGGGCUAGAGGGCUAUGGUGGCUGGCGACUUUGUACUGCCAGAGAACUUUGCAAUGUUGCUGGUGUUCCUGAAGAGCCUUGGUUGGUCAUACACCUGGGUGUCAUCAAAAAGAGCAUGAGAAGUCGGGAGGUAAUGGCACAAGCCUUUAAUGCCAGCACUCGGGAGGCAGAGAGGGUGAGCUAGUGUCUACAUAGAACCUUCACCCCUACAUUCUAGUGGGUUUUGUAUAGGAGGGUACUCUUCAGGCUACCAAAAGAGAAAAGCAAACACCAACCCAGCCACAAACCCUUUCAUCUACAAUCUGUCCUGCUGGCAAAACAUGUCAGGGCAACGGUAGCAUAAAGGUGUGUGAGUAACCAACCAGUGUCUGAUUUGACUCCAUGACAUGGAACCCAUACUCAACACUGUUUGGGCAACCAAAAUCCAGAGACUAGAUAGCCUAGAGACCUAGGCCAAAAGAAAAUGCUGCUGGUCUGAAACAGAAACAACAAUAAAAGGACUCCUAGCGAUCUGCUGCUGUUCUCAGAUCUCACAAAUCUGUGCCUUCUUCGGCCAUCAUCAGAGAAGCUUCCUCCUGCAGCAAACUGGAACAGAUACAGAGACCCACAGCCACAAAGCCCAAGGAAUUCCACAGAAGAGGAAGCAGAAAGAAUGUAAGAGCCAGAGGGGAUAGAGGGUCUCACAAGUACUGAUCGAAAUUCAUAUGAACUCACAGACUGAAGCAGCAAGAACAGCAUCUGCACAGGCCUGCACCAGGUCCUCUGUGACAUGUUAGAAUUUCUGGUUUAGUGUUUUUAGAGGACUCCUGAAUGUGUGAAUAAGGGGUGUCUGAUUCUUGUGCCCUUCCCUUGAAACUCUUCUCCUUCUGUUGGUUUGCCUUGUCCAACUUCAAUGUUUUAUCUUAAUGUAUUUUAUUUGUCAAAUUUUGUAGUUAUCACUUGGAAGUCUGUUAUUUUCUAAUGAGAGACAAAAAGGAAGUAGAUCAGAUAGAAGGGGAGGUGGGGAGGAACUGGGAGGAGGAGAGGGGGUGGAAACUGUAAUCAGGAUAUACUGUAUGAGAAAAGAAUCUAUUUUUACUAAAAGGGGGGAAGAGACUACAAAAUCAAAACAAAAAAAAAAAAGAAAGAAAAGAAACACAGGUAUGACUCUCAAUUUACUUAUGACCUGACAAUGCAUUCAUUUAACACAGAUGCAGCACCCACAAUAUAAGGCAGGGUAUUUGCCAAACAAAUGGUACUGUAGCCACUAUACAUGAUAGGAUUUAGGAGACUCUUUCAGAUCCAUGCCUGGGAAAACAUUAUCAAAGAAUCUAGACUCAUGAAAGCAGGAAUUUGGACAAAAUUAAGGGAUGAUGGUACUAGAAGGAUAAAGGGACUCAGAGAACUCAAAUUCAAUAGGGACCUACCGGCUAGGUUGGUAGGAAAUUCAUGGAGUGGGGAGAAGCAGGCUGAAAGAUGCCUCUGCCCUGUGUUUAACCCUCAGAACUAUGACAUAUUACUCUACAUAGCAAAUGGACUGAUGUGGUUACAGAUCUUGAGAGGGAGGAGGUGGUCUUUAAUUAUUUGGUCCUCAAUCUAAGUGUCCUUGUAAGAGAUGAACAUGAAAAACGAGGUUGUGCAGAAACAGAGAUUAGAGUUCUGUAGCCACAAGCCAAGGAAUGUCUGAUGUGAUCAGAGGCUGAGAGAAACCAGACGAGAGUCUCCCUCCAGCCUAAGAUGACAGCUCAGACAACACACAUGUGAUUCAGCCUUCUGUCCUCAGAGACAUGAGAGAAUGGAUUACUAUUCUUGUAAGCUACUGAGCUUGCGGAAACCUGUGACAGCAUCCCUAGGAAGCUCACCCAUCUGCUACCCAUCUCCUGCGCCACCGUUUUCUGUUCUACCUCCUCCCCAUAGGUAAUGCUCUCCUGUCUCUCAGGCUCCCUCAUUAGCCCACCCGCACUCAGCACCCAACAUUAGCACAUGCUAUGUGUGUGUGUGACCUUCUCAUAGGGUUGUCACAGGAUGCCAAUCAAAUUUGCAUUUCAGAUAAGCAACAAGUAGUCCAUACUUGAGCUGGCAUAUAUUUAUAUUAAAAAGUGGUUGAAAUUUGGAUUUAAAUGAGUAUCAUGUUUUAUUGUUUUUUUUUUUUACCUCUCCAAAUCUAGUGAUAAUCAUAGGUUGUGAUGACAGAACCUUACAGAGAGGAAAAUAAAUCUGUCUUCACAGUCAUGAAGGUUGGGUGGGACAACAGUAAGGCACUACCUAAUAUCCAGUCAGGGCCUUCUUGUUAUGUUGUAGCAUGAGAGAAGGCAUCUAACAGCACGAGGGAGGGAGUGUGUGCUCGUCUCUUCCUCUCCUUGUAAAGACACCAUGUUAUUCUAGGAGGCUCAGCCUCACGGUCCCAUCUAACAAACUGUUCCCCAAAGUCAUACCUCCAAAUGCCACUAAUGUAAGAGUCUAUGGCUCACAUUCCCCACACACCGCACCGUAGUAGCUGAUCAUUUUAUUCCUGGCCUUUCUUAGUCUGACUAUUUUCCCUAAAGAUGACCUCAUCUCUGCCUGCUACUCCCUAGUUCUCAUGCCUCUAUAGCAAUCCUAGUCAGAACCUUCUUAUCAGCACUGUGACAAUGUCUGCCAUGAUGGCCUUUAAUGACUUCAUCUGUAUAACAUUUACAAAGUUGCAGAACAAAAACAUAAGUGACAUUUUAUCUUAAAAUAAAAAACGGAAUUAGAAAUUCUAAUUUAGGAAAUUAUCUCUCUGCUGAGUACUAAUUAUGUUUUUAAUUUACUGUGAUCAUAAACCAGAGUGCUAUGGUUAAAGGGCAGGUUUAUAGCAAAUAAAUCACAAAUUCAAGUUAGGCAGUGAAAACAUAACUUGCUCUUUUCUGUUUUUAUAGUCCUAGAAAGCAAUGCAUGAUAAGGGCUGGCAUGCAAUAGAGCUCUUAUCUGAGUGUGGGAAAAAUCCCACGUAUUAGUAAUUACAUUAUGGCUGCAUCUGCCUGAUGAGUGCAGAUGCCUCUUGCAAAGACUGACCAUUUUCCCAUCGGAAGUGAGGUACAAAGUAAUGUUUACUUUUCCAAAGAUUUGUCACAGCUGUUUUUCCCAUUCCUUUGUGAAUCAUGCUGGCUCAUCUGCUAUAACUUAGAGAAUUACAGUUUACGGUCAACACGAGCCACCGUCAUAAAUGUGACCGGCUCGUGCAAAAGUCCACGGAGAUUUUCUUCAGGACCAAAAAAGGGAAGGGUUCCGGUGGAGAGGCAGUGAGAUGGGUGAGAACUUCAGCGGUGGGAAAGCUGAAGCCUGGCGGGAAUUUAGAACAAGUAGAUUCAGAUUUUGGUUGCCAAAGGGGAACAGAGUCAAGAAGGUUUCCAGUCAGUGUCCUUUGAGCUACCUGAGAGUCACUCAGUGGACAAUCUGUAGGUUCUGGAACAAAGGGACGCCUUAAGUACAUUAGUAAAAUGGCAGGUGAACACAACUUACCAAAAUCUUGGUAAUGUUCUAAACACAAAAAUAUAGCAUAUCGGAGCUAAAGAGAUGGUUUAGCAGUGGAGUGUAUUGCUCUCACAGAGGACCCGAGUUCGGUUCCCAGCAUCCAUAUCAGCUGGCUCACAACUACUGCAAUUCCAGCUCCAGAAAGCAGACACCUAUGAUUUUCAAAAACCCUGAACUCAUGUGCACAUACUGACUAGCCCACAUAAUUAACACAGAAAUUAUAUUUAUAUAAUAUGUUAAAUAUCAUUUUUAUCAUGAGCCUUUUCAAGAUAUUGUGUAAUUGAAGAAAAUUCAGGUGGUAGAGAUGAAAAUCAGAGCCUACCAAACAAUAGCCUUGCACUGUAUUUGUCUACUCACAUAAAAUUUCCAUUGCCUAUAAGGCAAGGUGGGCACAAACCAAGAGAAUUCAGAAGCAAGAAUGGUUGCUUACAUGGAGAAAAGGCCUAGGUUUUGGAUUCCCCAUUAAGGAUUUUUCUCUCCUUGCUUUGGUUUCAAUUUCAAGACUGUGGGAAUUUAGGAAAGCCAAUCAUUUAAUUGCUCUGCUGACUGGGCAGGUAAGCACAUGCUUUAUAAAUUAGGUUCACUUGACUAAAAUCACAUGCAAGAACUAACCAAGAAAAUACUCUGGAAAGUUUUCUAGAGAACUGUCCAGCAGUGGUCUGGGUUCCAAGUGUCUUCAGAGGCUGCCUGGGAGGACUUGUAGUAUGGCCCAAGUAUUGUCUCAGAAUUACUGCCAACAUCUACACAUGGGAAAGAUUGCAUUCUCAGAUAAUUCCUACCCAGUGAAGAAUUUGAUGAAGUGAGAAUCAUGGUAUUAUACAGAAAGAGCCUUGAGUUUAUUUCAAGAGUAGAAAAAAAAUGUAAUUAGUGAUCAGUCUCUGUGGCAGUGCUCAAAAUGAACAGGAACAUGCCAUCUGUGAUACUAGAGUCUAUGACGUUGCUGAAUGAUCAGGAACAUGCCAGCUGUGACGUUAGAGUCUAUGACGUCAUUGAAUGAUCAGGAAAAUGCCAGCUGUGACUCUAGAGUCUAUGACGUCAUUGAAUGAACAAGAACAUGUCAACUGUGACAUUAGAGUCUAUGAUGUCGUUAAAUGAUCAGGAACAUAUCAGCUGUGACUAUAGAGUCUAUGAUGUCAUUGAAUGAUCAGGAAAAUGCCAGCUGUGACUCUAGAGUCUAUGACGUCAUUGAAUGAACAAGAACAUGUCAACUGUGACAUUAGAGUCUAUGAUGUCAUUAAAUGAUCAGGAACAUACCAGCUGUUACUAUAGAGUCUAUGAUAUCGUUGAAUGAUCAGGAACAUGCCAGCAGUGACUCUAGAGUCUAUGAUGUCAUUGAAUGAUCAGGAAAAUGCCAGCUGUGACACUAGAGUCUAUGAUGUCAUUGAAUGAUUAGGAACAUGCCAGCUGUGACACUAGAGUCUAUGACGUCAUUGAAUGAUUAGGAACAUGCCAGCUGUGACACUAGAGUCUAUGACGUUGAAUGAACAGAAACAUUCUAGCUGUGACUCUAGAGUCUAUGAUGGUGCUGAUUAGAAGACACUGGAAGGUCAGCAAGAAAGCUCAGCUGGUAAAAGCAUUGCUAUCCAAGGUUGGUGACCUGAGUCUGACUGCCAGUGAAGGAGAGAACCAACCUCUGGAAGUUAUCUCCUGACCUUUAUGUGCACACUGUGCAAUGUGUAGCUGCACUUGCACACCACACACACACACACACACACACACACACUAAAUUAAACUAAAUAAUUCCUAAAAGACUUGUAAUCCAACUGAGAUAACUCUUCCCAUUCCAAAAUUUCAAAGUUCUCCAGGACCCUUCCAUAGAAGAUAAUAUUGGUGGAUAAAACCCAUUAACACUUUUAAAAUAGUCAGUCCUCCAAAGGAAAUGCCUAGGACCAGAACACAAAGUAAAACUUGAAACAAGAAACAUGUAUAGUCUUAUAUCAAAGUAUCCUGGCAAUAGGGAUUAAAGGCCAUCAGCCAUGAAUCCUUCGAAAAAAGGGCAUUAAACAUAUCGACCAAAAACCCAGUAGGAGCUUAUAUCCUGGGUACUUUUAAGUCUUUAAAUUUUCUUUGAGAAAUUAAAACCCAUGUUUUAAUAGGAGGUUAGAACUUUUGUUCCUCACGUGUUGUGAAACCCCAAGCCUAGAAAUGAGUAUGAAAAUGGAUCCUGGACAUGGAGACGGCUAACUUUACCCAUCGGCUCAAUUAAUAAAGCACUUGUGGGUGUGUAUGGGAACAUCCCACAGAAGUCAUCAGCAUGUAAGACAGCAGUGGGCAAGGAAGACCUGCACCAGUGUUAGCAGAAGGCUCAGACGGAACAAAGAAGGAAAAAUAAGCCAACCAACAUGUAAAUGUUCAAUUCCUGUGGGGCCCCACUACCUCAGGACCAUGUACCUCAGGCACCAUGCCUUCAGCCUUUCCCCUGAGCUCACACCAGUGACUCUCCAGGAAACUUAAAAGCCCUCAGCCUCAGCCUGAAGCCUCAUCAUCGAUCCUUCUUGUUCGAAUUGUCCAGGUUGUUAGGAUGAGCAGCUAUUGGAUUUUUUUUGUCUUUCUAGCCUGAAGACAGCCAUUUAGACUUCAAUUAUAUAGUCCAAGCCAAUAAAUCACCUUUGAAAUUACAUUCUGCUGCUGAUAUCCCUUUAGAGAAGAACUCUGACUGAUAAAGAGUUGGUAGAAGUUAUAAUAACCGUGAAAGAAAUUAACACGAAAAUACUUUGGGGGAUACCUUUACCACUCAAGGCUCAAGGAACAUCUAAAAUGCAAUACACCUGCUUAAGAUAUUACAACAACAACAACAACAAAAACCAGAGAAAAUGAUCCACUGAAGGAGAGGAAAGAGACAGGAGAAUUAGCACCCAAGUGUCUGGAGAUAAUUGAAAAUAAGAAAUAGUGUAAUAAAAUUAAAAGACAGCAAAAUAAGUGAACACAAGAGCAAAAGAAGGAAUAGAUUAGAAGAAAGAAGUGUUUGACUAUCACAGUACAGGGCACUACACAACCUCUGCUUCUUAAUGGACCCAGACUGAAACUACGGAAGGAAGGUAGGCUUGAGCCCUUUUUGACUGGUUAUACUCCAGAGUGAAUUACUUGCAAGGUAUUCACUUGUGUGAAUCUCACUGAAUUAGAAAGCCACUCGAUCAGAGCUAGGGAGAUGGCUCAAUAAUGAGGAGCCCUUGCUGCUCCUCCAAAUGACCUGGAUUUGAUUCCCUGCAUCCACAUGCUGGCUUGCAAUCAACUGUAACUCCAGUUCCAAAAGAUCCAAUGCUCUCUUCUGACUCCCACAUACUCCACACAUGUAUUAUACAAACAUACACGCAGGCAAAACACCCAUACACAUAAAACAAAAUAAUUAGAAAGCUACUUGGUAGCUUUAAUUAGAUUGCAAAUGCAUAAACAUUUUUGCUGUGACUUGAAUGAGAUGUGGCAUUUGAAAAGCUGGUCCUCAGUUGGGGGCUGUUUGGGAAGGAUAGGGAGGCGUGGCCCUGUUGAAGGAGGUGUGUCAGCAGGAUGGGUUUGAGGCUUGCCACCCCCAGUGCACUCUCUCUGCUCCCUGUGUGGGGAACAGGGUGUGGGCUCUUCGCUGCUGCUUCAGUGCCAUGCCUGCCUGCUGACAUGUUCUUCACCCUGAUGGUGAUAAACUCUAACCCUCUGAAACUGUAAGUCUUAAAUAAACCUUUCUUUCAGUAA